rnacentral:rRNA from 1 species
UACGUAGGGUGCAAGCGUUGUCCGGAAUUAUUGGGCGUAAAGAGCUCGUAGGCGGUUUGUCGCGUCUGCUGUGAAAACUCGGGGCUUAACUCCGGGCCUGCAGUGGGUACGGGCAGACUAGAGUGCGGUAGGGGAGACUGGAAUUCCUGGUGUAGCGGUGAAAUGCGCAGAUAUCAGGAGGAACACCGGUGGCGAAGGCGCUCUGCUGGACCAUAACUGACACUCAGGGACGAAAGCUAGGGGAGCGAAUGGG